UAAUGGCAGGUCAGCAUACUGCCGUGAAUACGUUCCCGGGCCUUGUACACACCGCCCGUCACACCAUGAGAGCUGGGAAUACCCGAAGCCUGUGAGCUAACGUAAGAGGCAGCAGUCGAAGGUAGAAUCAAUGAUUGGGGUGAAGUCGUAACAAGGUAAC
rnacentral:rRNA from 1 species